rnacentral:rRNA from 1 species
GACGAACCGUCCUAACGUUGUUCGGAAUCACUGGGCUUAAAGGACGCGUAGGCGGGUCAGCAAGUCCGGGGUGAAAUCUUUCGGCUCAACCGGAAAAGUGCCUUGGAGACUGCUGGUCUAGAGGGAGGUAGGGGCAUGUGGAACUUCCGGUGGAGCGGUGAAAUGCGUUGAUAUCGGAAGGAACGCCGGUGGCGAAAGCGACGUACUGGAUCUCUUCUGACGCUGAGGCGCGAAAGCCAGGGGAGCAAACGGG